AUGGUGGUUUGUGCACUGCGGGUGACUUGGCAACAAAGCAGAGUUCGGGUCCGAGCGAAGCAGCAGCUUGAAACGGCUCGGAGGUGGCUCGACGAAGUGAGCCAUGGCGCAGAGGCGGGUGCCGGUUUGACCAUGGACGGCCUGUGGCAAAGUUGUUUGCGGAGCCAAGGCGAGGUGAGAUGGCGAUUUGCAAGUGAGGUUGAGUACUUGGCGGCUCUCAAUAGUAGUUGGCCAGAACCAUGGUGGAAAAGAGAGCUCGAGCGGCGUUUCAAGGUCACAGAGGCCGCAGGUGCUCGGGACGACUUAGGCAGGCGGCUCAGGGCAGAGACGGCCGCUCAAGACCAUGGCGAGACGGCCGCGAGGCAAGGUCGGCUUGAGGCGCAAGCCGCCCGACGGCGCAGGUGA
rnacentral:rRNA from 1 species